rnacentral:tRNA from 1 species
GGUUCCAUGGUGUAAUGGUUAGCACUCUGGACUCUGAAUCCGCACCCGAGUUCAAAUCUCGGUGGAACCU